CCGGGCGGAGGGGAGCGGGAUGGGCGCGGAAGGCGGGGCCGCGAGGGGAGGUGGAGGCUGCGGCCGGGCCCCCGUGCCUCUCAUCUCCUCGGAGUCCGGCAGGCGCUCCGCUGCUGUCCCGAGGCCGCCUUCCCCUCCGAGCGGCGCUGCCGGGCGCUGCCCCCCGCGGACGGAGCCGAGCCGCGCCGCCGCUGCUGCCGCCCCCCGCGGCGGGACCUGCGGCGCGGAGGAGAGGCCGGGCUGCCGGCCCGAGCCCUGAAACCCCUUUCUCAGGAAAACCUCCCAGUGACUUGGGGUGAUGCUUUCCCGGGAUAAUGUCAGCACAGUGUGGAUCCCUGAUGGUUCAGAAUUACAGUGAGUGUGCUGUCUCGGUACAAAAUUCAGCAGCGUACUCACAGCGCUGGAAACUUGGCUUUCAGCAGCGAGACACCCUCCACCCCUCGUUGACAGCUGCCUCCCGGAGCAGAAGGGAUGUGCACUGAGGAUGGACAUUAAAUAACGUUUGUGAGUUAGGUUACUGUCUCUUGCAGGACUCCUAAUUUUUCUUCAGAUGUUUUCCAAAAAGACAUAUAGUCUGGAAUACUUCUUUCUAGCAAUUUAUAAGGCACUGAAUAGUGAAUUGUAGGUGCACUUCUAGGGUUUUCAAAGGCUAUUACUGUUGUUACUGGCAAAUAAUUUCGUGUUAACUGGUAUCAAAAGCCAGAUGGAAUAUGAUGCUAUGAUGCUUGAGUUUUGUUACACGCAGUUGCAUGGCUGAAACUCAUAGUUCACAUGCAUUUAUUUGCACACACUUUCUUUUGUCUUUCUGUCUUGUUUUCUGCUGCAUAAACCUUUAAUGCUGUAUUAACAUUGUAUUAAACAUUGUAUCCCAAAAGAACCAAUAAAUCAGCUUUUAGGAUCAGCAGCUGGCAUUCUAGCUUAUGAGUUGCUUUUAUUCACAUCACAAUAUCAUUUAUUACAUCCUCAUCAAUAUAAACAUUUAACUGGAAAUUAAUAAUGGACUCUUUGUUUCUGAAAUUUCUGAAUGAAGAGUGAUAGGAACACAAGAACUGGGUGAAGCAGGCUUUUCCAUACAGAGCUUCCCAAACUAAAUUAUGCUUUUGUAUCUCUGAGACAGUGUG
rnacentral:lncRNA from 1 species